rnacentral:rRNA from 1 species
UACGUAGGGUGCGAGCGUUGUCCGGAAUUAUUGGGCGUAAAGAGCUCGUAGGCGGUCUGUCGCGUCUGCUGUGAAAACCCGAGGCUCAACCUCGGGCCUGCAGUGGGUACGGGCAGACUAGAGUGCGGUAGGGGAGAUUGGAAUUCCUGGUGUAGCGGUGGAAUGCGCAGAUAUCAGGAGGAACACCGAUGGCGAAGGCAGAUCUCUGGGCCGUAACUGACGCUGAGGAGCGAAAGCAUGGGGAGCGAACAGG